rnacentral:rRNA from 1 species
CAAAACUUUCAACAACGGAUCUCUUGGUUCUGGCAUCGAUGAAGAACGCAGCGAAAUGCGAUAAGUAAUGUGAAUUGCAGAAUUCAGUGAAUCAUCGAAUCUUUGAACGGACAUUGCGCCCUCUGGUAUUCCAGAGGGCAUGCCUGUUCGAGCGUCAUUU